AAGACUAUACUUUCAGGAAUCAUUUCUAUAGUUUGUUACUAGAGAAGUUUCUCUGAAUGUGUAGAGUACCUGAAACCACAGAAGGGGAUGGAGUGUUUUCUCCUGAGUGUGAAGUUGGCUCUUGGUGUUGCUUUGAUAACUGCUAUUUGCUGUUGAUAAUCACUCUUCUCUCUCUUCUGAGGGAGUAAGUAGGAGCAGACACCCAUCUGAGUGGU